AGCGAACGCUGGCGGCAUGCCUAACACAUGCAAGUCGAACGAACUCUUCGGAGUUAGUGGCGGACGGGUGAGUAACACGUGGGAACGUGCCUUUUGGUUCGGAAUAACGCAGGGAAACUUGUGCUAAUACCGAAUGUGCCCUUCGGGGGAAAGAUUUAUAGCCAUUAGAGCGGCCCGCGUCUGAUUAGCUAGUUGGUGAGGUAACGCCUCACCAAGGCGACGAUCAGUAGCUGGUCUGAGAGGAUGACCAGCCACACUGGAACUGAGACACGGCCCAGACUCCUCCGGGAGGAAGAAGUGGGGAAUCUUGCGAAAGGGGGGAAAGCCUGCCGAAGCCAUGCGGGGUGAAUGAUGAAGGUCUUAGGAUUGUAACAUUCUUUAACAGGGGCGGAUAAUGACGGUACCCGGAGAAGAAGCCCCGGCUAACUUCGUG
rnacentral:rRNA from 1 species